AGGACGAACGCUGGCGGCGUGCUUAACACAUGCAAGUCGAACGGAAAGGCCCUUUCGGGGGUACUCGAGUGGCGAACGGGUGAGUAACACGUGGGUGAUCUGCCCUGCACUUUGGGAUAAGCCUGGGAAACUGGGUCUAAUACCGAAUACACCUUGCUGGCUGCAUGGCCUGGUGGGGGAAAGCUUUUGCGGUGUGGGAUGGGCCCGCGGCCUAUCAGCUUGUUGGUGGGGUGAUGGCCUACCAAGGCGACGACGGGUAGCCGGCCUGAGAGGGUGUCCGGCCACACUGGGACUGAGAUACGGCCCAGACUCCUACGGGAGGCAGCAGUGGGGAAUAUUGCACAAUGGGCGCAAGCCUGAUGCAGCGACGCCGCGUGAGGGAUGACGGCCUUCGGGUUGUAAACCUCUUUCAGUAUCGACGAAGCGCAAGUGACGGUAGGUACGAGAAGAAGCACCGGCCAACUACGCGCCAGCAGCCGCGGU
rnacentral:rRNA from 1 species